rnacentral:rRNA from 1 species
CUCGUAGGCGGUUUGUCGCGUCGGAUGUGAAAACUCGGAGCUUAACUCCGGGCCUGCAUUCGAUACGGGCAGACUAGAGUUCGGUAGGGGAGACUGGAACUCCUGGUGUAGCGGUGGAAUGCGCAGAUAUCAGGAAGAACACCGAUGGCGAAGGCAGAUCUCUGGACCGAUACUGACGCUGAGGAGCGAAAGCGUGGGGAGCGAACA